rnacentral:rRNA from 1 species
AACGCUUGGAAACGAGUGCUACUCACCGGAUGGUCUUCUUGGCCGCAUGGCCGAGAAGGAAAAGACGCGUUCGCGUCGGUGUCGGAUGAGCCCGCGGCGCAUUAGCUAGUUGGUGAGGUAACGGCCCACCAAGGCGACGAUGCGUAGCCGACCUGAGAGGGUGACCGGCCACACUGGGACUGAGACACGGCCCAGACUCCUACGGGAGGCAGCAGUAGGGAAUCUUCCACAAUGGGCGAAAGCCUGAUGGAGCAACGCCGCGUGAGUGAUGAAGGCCUUCGGGUUGUAAAACUCUGUCAUUCGGGACGAACCGGAGUCUGAGGAAAUGCAGACUCUCUGACGGUACCGGAGGAGGAAGCCCCGGCUAACUACGUGCCAGCAGCCGCGGUAAUACGUAGGGGGCAAGCGUUGUCCGGAUUCACUGGGCGUAAAGCGCGCGCAGGCGGUGAUGUAAGUCUGAGGUGAAAACCCGAAGCUCAACUUCGGGACUGCCUUGGAUACUGCGUCACUUGAGGAUAGGAGAGGCAAGGGGAAUUCCACGUGUAGCGGUGAAAUGCGUAGAGAUGUGGAGGAACACCUGUGGCGAAGGCGCCUUGCUGGCCUAUUUCUGACGCUGAGGCGCGAAAGCGUGGGGAGCAAACAGGAUUAG